CGCGUGCACUGGUUCGGCCGGGCCUUUCCCUCUGGGGAACCGCAUGCCCUUCACUGGGUGUGUCGGGGAACCAGGACUUUUACUUUGAACAAAUUAUAUCGCUUAAAGAAGGCCUAUGCUCGAAUACAUUAGCAUGGAAUAAUAGAAUAGGACGUGUGGUUCUAUUUUGUUGGUUUCUAGGACCGCCGUAAUGAUUAAUAGGGACAGUCGGGGGCAUCAGUAUUCAAUUGUCAGAGGUGAAAUUCUUGGAUUUAUUGAAGACUAACUACUGCGAAAGCAUUUGCCAAGGAUGUUUUCAUUAAUCAGGAACGAAAGUUAGGGGAUCGAAGACGAUCAGAUACCGUCAUAGUCUUAACCAUAAACUAUGCCGACUAGGGAUCGGACGAUGUUAUAUUUUGACUCGUUCGGCACCUUACACGAAAGUAAAGUUUCUGGGUUCUGGGGGGAGUAUGGUCGCAAGGCUGAAACUUAAAGAAAUUGACGGAAGGGCACCACCAGGGGUGGAGCCUGCGGCUUAAUUUGACUCAACACGGGGAAACUCACCAGGUCCAGACACAAGUAGGAUUGACAGAUUGAGAGCUCUUUCUUGAUUUUGUGGGUGGUGGUGCAUGGCCGUUCUUAGUUGGUGGAGUGAUUUGUCUGCUUAAUUGCGAUAACGAACGAGACCUUAACCUCCUAAAUAGCCCGUAUUGCUUUGGCAGUACGCUGGCUUCUUAGAGGGACUAUCGG
rnacentral:rRNA from 1 species